CGGUGUUCAACUGGCGUGCCCGCGGGACGUCCUGCCGGUGAGCUCAGCCCGCGAGGGCGGCUCAACUUGAAAUCCCAUCGCGGUGCUCUUCAUUGAGUGUCGAGGUGGGCCGGCACGAUUACUUUUGAACAAAUUAGAGUGCUUAAAGCAGGCUAAAAUUUUGCCUGAAUACUGUGUAUAUGGAAUAAUGGAAUAGGACCUCGGUUCUAUUUUGUUGGUUUUCGGAACCCCGAGGUAAUGAUUAAUAGGAACGGAUGGGGGCAUUCGUAUUGCGACGUUAGAGGUGAAAUUCUUGGAUCGUCGCAAGACGGACUAAAGCGAAAGCAUUUGCCAAAAACGCUUUCAUUGAUCAAGAACGAAAGUUAGAGGGUUCGAAGGCGAUCAGAUACCGCCCUAGUUCUAACCAUAAACUAUGCCAGCUAGCGAUCCGCCGACGUCCCUCUGAUGACUCGGCGGGGCAUCUUCCGGGAAACCAAAGCUUUUGGGUUCCGGGGGAAGUAUGGUUGCAAAGCUGAAACUUAAAGGAAUUUGACGGAAGGGCACCACCAGGAGUGGAGCGUGCGGCUUAAUUUGACUCAACACGGGAAACCUCACCAGGCCCAGACACUGGAAGGAUUGACAGAUUGAGAGCUCUUUCUUGAUUCAGUGGGUGGUGGUGCAUGGCCGUUCUUAGUCGGUGGAGCGAUUUGUCAGGUUAAUUCCGAUAACGGACGAGACUCUGACCUGAUAACUAGACGCACUUGCGGCAUCUCAAAGGUCCGCCGGCGGCUGGCUUUGCGCCCGUCGUCGCGCGCGAUUUUUACUGCCGGCGUACAAUAAAUUCUUCUAGAGGGACAAGUGG
rnacentral:rRNA from 1 species